CCUGGAAGCUGCAGGGAGAAGCAGCUGGGAACUGGGAUUCCCAGGGUCCCUCUUCAACCAGGAAGAAUUUGCUCCUCGACAUGGGCCUUCUCACCACCCCAGAAUUACAGCUCUUUCUCACUUUCUCUUCCUGGACCCAAGGGCCCCCACCUCUGUGUCUUCUGCUUCCAACAGCAACAGCUUUCCACUGCUCAAGCCUGUUGCCUAAAAUCAGCCUCUACAUACCCACCUGACAGAUCAACAAUGGCAAAUCUUUGGCAUUUGAGCAGAGGUCUCAUUUUUAGAGCCGCUGAAAUGCUGGAUGGGGCAAUGCUGGAUGGGGCAAUGCUGAAUGGGGCUUCCCUCCCCGGGGAAGAGGGGAGCAUACUGUCCUUACCUAAAUUUGUGGGUCCAUCAGGGGUUCUGCACAGUUGUAGACAGAGCAUGAUAUUAUAUUAAUGUGCUGGUAGGUGUUUGAGUGAAAUUCCUUGGUGGUGAGGUCCACAGUCUUUAGGGGGAGGAGAUCCUCUAGUGAUCUGGUCAGGAGUCCACUGAAUCAUCACUCCUAUGUGAAGCUGUUGGAUUCUAGAAGAGACACAUUUAACAAAGAGAAUUAAAGAGGGAGGACCAAUAAGUAGGAGAACAAGUUUUGAAGCCUGGGAUCCUAAGAAGGGAAGAAACCAGAAUAGCCCUGACUCCUGACUAGGUUUCUUCCCAAGAAAACCAUCUUUUGUGUUGCACGGUCCCAAAGGGAGGAAGCCAGUUGAAAUCGAAUGAUGGACAUUUUCUUGUAUUUGUAUUACAAAAAAAGAGUUCCAUGGAGGGGCCCUAUCUCUUGAUCUGGGACUUUGUUUGUUUGUUUGUUUGUUUGUUUGUUUUUUGAUCUAGGACUUUGUACUGGGGCCAGGAAACGUAAUAUAAAAAAAUGAGACAUUUUUCCUUAGGCCUUAGGCAGCAGUGUGUGUGUGUGUGUGUGUGUGGUGUGAGAUGUGUUCCUUUUUUUUUUUUUAUCUUUUUUAAAAUUUUUAUUUAUUUAUGAUAGUCACACAGAGAGAGAGAGAGAGAGAGAGGCAGAGACAUAGGCAGAGGGAGAAGCAGGCUCCAUGCACCGGGAGCCCGAUGUGGGAUUCGAUCCCGGAUCUCCAGGAUCGCGCCCUGGGCCAAAGGCAGGCGCUAAACCGCUGAGCCACCCA
rnacentral:lncRNA from 12 species